rnacentral:rRNA from 1 species
AGUGAACGCUGGCGGUAGGCCUAACACAUGCAAGUCGAACGGCAGCACAGUAAGAGCUUGCUCUUACGGGUGGCGAGUGGAGGACGGGUGAGGAAUACAUCGGAAUCUACUUUUUCGUGGGGGAUAACGUAGGGAAACUUACGCUAAUACCGCAUACGACCUACGGGUGAAAGCAGGGGAUCUUCGGACCUUGCGCGAUUGAAUGAGCCGAUGUCGGAUUAGCUAGUUGGCGGGGUAAAGGCCCACCAAGGCGACGAUCCGUAGCUGGUGUGAGAGGAUGAUCAGCCACACUGGAACUGAGACACGGUCCAGACUCCUACGGGAGGCAGCAGUGGGGAAUAUUGGACAAUGGGCGCAAGCCUGAUCCAGCCAUACCGCGUGGGUGAAGAAGGCCUUCGGGUUGUAAAACCCUUUUGUUGGGAAAGAAAAGCAGCAGGUUAAUACCCCGCUGUUCUGACGGUACCCAAAGAAUAAGCACCGGCUAACUUCGUG